rnacentral:rRNA from 1 species
GUCGUGAGAUGUUGGGUUAAGGUCCCGUAACGAGCGCAACCCUUCGUCCUUAGUUACCACGCACGUUAUGGUGGGCACUCUAAGGAGACUGCCGGUGACAAACCGGAGGAAGGUGGGGAUGACGUCAAGUCAUCAUGGCCCUUACGGCCUGGGCUACACACGUGCUACAAUGGUCGGUACAAAGGGUUGCCAAGCCGCGAGGUGGAGCUAAUCCCAUAAAACCGAUCGUAGUCCGGAUCGCAGUCUGCAACUCGACUGCGUGAAGUCGGAAUCGCUAGUAAUCGUGAAUCAGAAUGUCACGGUGAAUACGUUCCCGGGCCUU